AUUGAACGCUGGCGGCAGGCUUAACACAUGCAAGUCGAACGAGUGGCGGACGGGUGAGUAAUGUCUGGGAAUCUGCCUGAUGGAGGGGGAUAACUACUGGAAACGGUAGCUAAUACCGCGUACCAUCAGAUGAGCCCAGGUGGGAUUAGCUAGUUGGUGGGGUAACGGCUCACCAAGGCGACGAUCCCUAGCUGGUCUGAGAGGAUGACCAGCCACACUGGAACUGAGACACGGUCCAGACUCCUACGGUAGGCAGCAGUGGGGAAUAUUGCACAAUGGGCGCAAGCCUGACGCAGCCAUGCCGCGUGAAUGAAGAAGGCCUUCGGGUUGUAAAGUUCUUUCGGUAGGGAGGCGUUACCCGCAGAAGAAGCACCGGCUAACUCCGUGCCAGCAGCCGCGGUAAUUC
rnacentral:rRNA from 1 species